CAAAAAUAUGUGGCAAUAUACAGUGCCAAGAUGGUUUGGCAUAAUGCUUCCGACAAUGUGCUUCAGAAAUAUGCAGACUUAAGUCUUCCAUUCAGAUCUCAGUGUUUAACUGGCUCAGCCUAAAUGAGGUCGCCAUAUUUUUUUGCCCUUCUUAUCACAGAACAAACCAAAAGAUAAAUUGCACACAAGAGCAAUGUGACGGAUAGGAUGGCAUUAAAAGUAUUUGUGUGUCCAAAUAUUGCAAAUGUAGAUGCUGAUGGGAUUUUUUCUCUCUCUCCCUCUUUUUUUUUUUUUUUUAAUGCUUUGCUUUAGGACUGGUCAAGUGCCUGAAUUGGAUUACCAUCUGGAACAUAAGCAUGCAGUGUCCAGAUCUCACCUUGAUGACAGGCCAUUCGGUUCAUUUGCUCUGUAAAGAAGAAAUAAAACAUCUUUUUCAUAAGCUACA
rnacentral:lncRNA from 1 species